rnacentral:rRNA from 1 species
ACGCUCGACACCUACGGGAGGUAGCAGUAGGGAAUCUUCCACAAUGGGCGCAAGCCUGAUGGAGCAACACCGCGUGAGUGAAGAAGGGUUUCGGCUCGUAAAGCUCUGUUGUUGGAGAAGAACGUGCGUGAGAGUAACUGUUCACGCAGUGACGGUAUCCAACCAGAAAGUCACGGCUAACUACGUGCCAACAGCCGCGGUAAUCUGAGCGGGCUGGCAAGGC